CUUCUUCUUCAUCUUCUUCUUCUUCUUCUUUUUAAAAAAUAUAUCCAGCCUCAGGUAUUCCUUAACAACACACUUGGGCUAAGACACAGGGUCUUAGGUAUAGCAGGCAUCUGAGCCAAGCUGGAACUUAGAUCUUAACUGUUAAUGUAGGAUGAUUUGUAUUGAACCAUUAAUUUUACACUGCCUUUCAAUGUUGGUGUCAGAGUUUAAGUAAGGUUAUUUAAAAAAUGCAGCAAGUUUACUUUUUUUCCAGUGAACAGCAACUACUUAAUGAUCUUAAAACUUUCUUCUUACAAUAUACUUUACAAUAUUUUCUGUUGGAUUUAUUACCUAUGUGCAAAUCCAUUAGUUGAAGGGCCAAAGAAUAAAGAUAAUUUAUGAAUUAUGAAUAGGUAUUUUGAAAUAGUCAUGGAGUUACCAUUUGGUAUAACUUAAUUGUGAAAAUUAUAGAAGAGAUCUAGAUAUAGUUUAUGAACUCCUAAAGAGACAUUAAAAGUUAUUCAAAUACUUAUGUAAAGAUGAACCAAGGUAGAGAUGGUUGUGAAUUGCUGAUCUGCUAUAUCUUACAGUUAUGUAACUUGACUUGUUUCAAAAUUAUUGAAGUUUUAAGUGUAUGUAUUCUACUGGUUAAUAAGUAAACAUAUUCAGGUUCUGAAUGUAGACAGAAUAUGUAAAUAUGGAAAAGUACAUUUGUUAGAAUACAAACAAGAAUGAAAAUUGAGUACAGAAUGAAAACCUUUUUAAAUUGUAUCACUCCAUAUAUUAUUUCUUAGCCUAUUUUUUUUCUUCCUCAGAAACGAAUCUACAUUUUCUACUUUAAUGCUAUUUUUAAAUGACUAAAAAUUACUAAAUUUAUUGGGUAGUAGCUAUCCUGCCCCAAUUGUCCUUUAUCAGUUUGCCUGCGUUUGAAACUUAGAUUCCAUUUAAUUUUCCAUUCUUGUUCCUACAGAGCUUCUCUCAUACGUGGUUUAAUUCAUUCUAUUAAUGGACUUUAGGAGAAGGAAACACCAUCCAAUUAUAAAGUUCUAUAUUAUUUGAUGCUUUUUAAAACCUAGAUUUUCUGCUUUAUGCAUUUUUCUCUAUUUUUAAAGUAUUUAUACUUUCCUUUUUGGCAGCAAAGUUGAUGGAAGUUGGAAGUACUCUGGAAGGAUUAAAAAUGUUCUCAAAAAUCUCCCUCAUAAAUUAGAUUUUUAAGUUCUUAGUCCAGGAUUCUGUGAGAAUAGGCAAGAUUUUCAGCUGCCAAUGACUUUUACCAGAUACCUGGCGCUUGAUUUAGGACAACUGGGAAAAAUCAUUUAUUGUCAUGAAAAUAAAUAUUUUGAAGGGUGAAGAAAGUGGGAAAUUAAAUGUACAUUUUUUGAAUACCUUCUCUUGGUCAGGCACUGUAUGCUAAGUACUUUCACACAGUUUUCACAACCGUGUAAGGAGAUAGAAUCCUAUCAAACAGAUUAAAUUCAUUCCCCAAGACUAUUUAGUUUAUGGGCAUUGCAAAUGGAAUCUGAACCUAGGAUCUUUGAGUCCAUGCUCUUUUUAGUACCUAUGAAUCUUCUCCUUUGGUAGAUGUAAAAAAUAGAUUAAUGCUCUUUUUCGUUUCUCAUAUUUUUGUGGUAACUGUUACUUCUUCGGGGCAGUCUUAACCUAAGACUUGCCAGACACUCUACUAAACACCCUUCCUUGAAAUUCCUUCAUAAUAUUAUCUCCCAUAUGAAACUAUGAACUCCUUGAAGGCAGGACCACACCUGUUUUUGCUCAUCAUUUUAUUCCCAGUGUCCAACACAUAGAAGGCAAUAUCUGUUGAAUAGGUAGUAUGCACUAACACACAGACCACAAACGUAGUAUGGGAAAUAUACUCUUAGUGAAGAUUUUGUAGUGUGGAGAAUUAUGCAAAUCUAAAAUUGUUUGAACUAUUGAGUAGGGAAAGGGCCAGGUAACUUGUUCUUCACAAUUUAGGCAAACUCCAGUUGGUUUCUCUGUCUUUUUGAUCCAUUGCCCACAUUGCUGUUGGAGCUUUCUAAAACACACAUCUUUAAAAAUAUUCUAUGGCUCGUUUGUAUAUUGGAACUCCUUAGGCAACUUGCAAGGAAGCCCUUCUGAGUCAAAAAUCACCUUUUCAGCCUAUUUCCCAGUAUUCUCCUUUAUGCUUUGGCCAUGGGUAUUUCAUAUGUCUGAGAGAUGCCAUGCCCUAUCCUCAUACGAUCUAUAUUUUUUAAAAUCUCAUUUCUUCAAGGCUUAGCAUUAUCUGUAAUCUUCCGAGUGACAUCUUCCUCCAAUUUUCUAAGCAGUUACUUGCUUUUUUGUUCCAAUUGCACUUUAUACGCUUUAUGUAUCUUGUAGUUUCCUGACCCCUCCUAUUAUUCGUUCUGUCUAUCUCCCUCAUUUGACCUAACACUGAAGAUAGGCCAUGUUCCUCAAUUUUAUUUUCUCACUUUUGCUCUCAAACAAAAUAACAGAAAAUAAAAACAAAAGCUGGCAUGAUGCCUGGUACAGGUAUGUUUAGAGUGGAUUCAUAUAACUGAUAGAUCUGACUUUCUCAGCAUCAAUGGUUGGUGUGCUGCUUUUCCUGAAACUUACAAAUUGAGGAGUUGGAGCUAGAAAGUGAGAAGAAUUAGCUCAAGACAUAAGAAUAUGGAAACUGUGAGCACAUUGAGGGUAAGGGGAUUCAUGUGCUUUGUACUCUCAAUGCCUGACAUAGGAGAAGCUCUAAUCAUGAAUGAAUUGAACUGGAGAUGACCUCACAACAUGUGCUCAGGCGGAUUACAGUAUAGGAGCUCAUCCCUAAUUCACAUGAAUCCAUGAUUUGGCUAAGAAGAUUGAAAUCCUGAGAAACAAUUUUCUGAAGAAAUGAAAUUGUAUGCCCUCCUGAACUCUUUGGAGAAAAUAGCUUCUCUGUUUUCUCAGAAUAUGAAACAGUAAAACAGUACACAUAAACAGCCAGCCUUGCCACGCCAUGUCACAGUUCUAUUUGUAGCAUUUGAAAAAAAUGACAUUUAAAAAGAUUUUCUGGGACUUUACUUUUUUAUUUACUUAAGAACUAACUGGCACAAAUAAUAUUUGCGCAAUCUUGCUGAUGUAAGAUUUUUCAAAUCAGAUGUAUUUAUUUUCUGGGAAACUCGGGCAAUUGCUUUGAAGCCUUUGUGUUGGAUAACUUCACAGAGCAUAUGUGAAAAGGAGAUUUUGGAAGUGCUCUUCAUAGUGGUAACAUUUCUGAAAAUAUUAAGAGCAUCCUCCAAUGUCCUUAUCUCCUGGGCACUGGGAGUAUCUUCAGUAGACUCAUUGGUCUCAUAGGGUGGGCAAAAGAAUGUGGAGGAUGAAAACUUAUUAAAAGGCAAAAAA